GCGAUGCAAAACUUUCAAAUCACUUGUCAUUCGUGCUGUAAACCCACUAAAUUCCCAAUUAAACCCCAAAUUAAAAUUGGGUCAACCAACCUAGUUUUCCAAUUUAUAAGAAAUCAACACCCUAAAUCCUCAUUAUUCUUUUAUUUUGAGCCUUAUCCGAGCUGCUUACCCUUUUCUUGUACUGAAAGUUGCGCCCCAAUAUAAAUCUACAAGACUUUUCCUCUCUUUUUCUUCUAGCACUUCACUUUAAGGUUUGUUUUCUUUUUUUCUUUCUCUUUUUUGGGUUCAAAGAUCAUGUAUUGUUAAUAACCAAAAAGCUAUCUUUCUAAAGACGGAUAGAAACUCACCAUCUAUCUUCUUAAUCUAACACUAUACAUCAAUCUAGAUAUCAAAUACCUAUAGCACUGCAAAGAAUACAUACAUCAGUUUUAUCAUUCUACUCCUAAGGAAAGUAAUUUAGCUUGCUCAAUAAAUUCCUCCAGGAUGCUCUAUCUCUUCCUUGAAUGUGUAAGUGCAUUACUAUGCCAUAAAAUAUGUGAUUAUCCAUUGCUUGUCCAUUAUUGAAUCUCAAUGUAUUCCUAUCAAGCCAUAUACUAUAGAUAAACAUUGCAAAUGUGCCACAAAUGGACUCAACAUAAGCUCAUUUCUUCUUUGGUACUGUGCAUAUCCAUUUUAUUUUCUACUGCCAUGUUAUACUGGUUCUUCUAAUUUGCAGCCAAUUUAACAUUUCUCUCCACACCUGGUUGCUAUAAGUGCAACUGAAGAACAGGUGGUCAAAAGACUCUAUAUCUUUAUCACAAAAGAUGCAAUUCAUUGGUACUUGGAUUUCUAUCUUUUGAAGCCUCACUACAUUUACCAACCUUUGCUGUACUGCCAUCCAUAACAUGAACUUAAACCUUGGGUGCACUUGAUUUUGUAAGGUUAUAUUCUUCCAUGGAACCUUAGGUAGUUGAGACAUCAUGGUUUGGUAUGCUUGUUUAAUCUUGAACUUGCUACUUUGCACCAUCUUUUCCAGGAAAUACUGAAUUGAGCCUUGGUAUUAUUGCUGUAAAAUCACCACUUGUCUAUUAUCUAUAAUUUUUUUCACCGCCCAAGCUGUAGUUUUAGGACUCGUUACCAUUUCCAAUCCAUUACUAUUGAUAUAGUGAUAGUGCACUUGAUUCAUAAUGUGUCUUUCUUCAUAGAUAUAGCCCACAGGUGCUUCAGAAUAGCUGCUUUGUUCCAUCUUUUGAUAUCAAUUACAUUCAGUCCACCUGUUAAACCUGGACAACAUAUUCUUUCCCAUGCCACUAUUUUCUUCCUUGAUAUAUCACCUUUACCUAUCCAGAGAAAGGUUCUACACACUGCUUCUGGCAUCUUGAUCACUUUUUGUGGUAGUACAAAAAUUUAUGUCCAAUAACUUUGCAUUCAAAAAAAUACAAACUUGACGAGCUGAAUUCUUCUAGAGUAUGAUAGUAACUUAGCUGACCAGUAGUUUAUCUGGGCUGUAAACUUCUCAACUAGUGGUAGGUAUUGGGGUACUGUUAGCUUUUUGGUGGAAAGAUGAACCCCUGAGUACUUGAAUGGGAGUUUUUCAUCCACAUAACCCAAUCAUUUUAUAAUAUAUAUUUCCAAGCUACUAGUAGUACCUAUUAUAUAGAUUGAGCUCUUCUCCUGAUUAGGUCUCAGACCAGAUGCUUUAGAGAAUUUUCAAAAGUUAUCUUGUAUCAAGAUGGUAGAGGUUAAAUAGGCCUUACAAAACAUAUGUAGGUCAUUAUCAAAAUGCAUAUGUAUCACUCCAAAUAUCUUUCAUCUAGGAUGGAAGUGAAAUGGGUUAUUGAGCACCAACUGUGUCAAUUCCCUAUGCAAGUUUUCCAUUGUUAUAACAAAGAGAUAGGGAGACAUGGGGUCCCCUUGCCUCAGUCGUCUCUUAGCUUGAAAUGGUUGUGUUAGUCCACCAUUUAGCAUUAAUGAAUAAGGGAUUGUUGACACAUAUUCCAUUAUCCAGUUAAUGAACUUUUAAGGAAACCUUAGUUCUGUCAGCAUAUCUCUUAAAAACUGCCACUCUAGUGUAUCAUAUACUUUCCUCGUAUCCACUUUUAGUAUACACCUAAGUGAUAUCCAUUUUCUUGUGUAGCUUUUAAAUUACUCAUGACUCAGCAGUAUAUUAUCAGAGAUGAUCCUCCCUUCACAAAAGCUGAUUGGGACAUUUCUAUCAAUCCAUUUAUUACCUUCUGCAUCUUGUUAGUGAGAAUUUCGGCAACCAGUUUGUAUAGAGUGGAAAAACAAACAAUGGGUCUAUAAUCCUUCACCUUAAUAGGUGAAGAAAAUUUUGGAAUAAAGUUAUGGAAGUGCAUUUCUAGGCUUUCAUUAUCUUACCCUCAGAAAAGAACUACUGUACAGCUCAUACGCACUCGCCUUCACCUCUUCCUAGUUGCUGUUGAAAAACUCAAUAGGGUAACCAUCUAUUCCAGGACUUUUGUCUAGUUGUAUGCCUUUGACUGUAUGAUAAAUAUCCUCUACACUAACUUAUUGUAUAUACAUGAAUUAUUGGUUCCUGUCAAGACAUGGACCUGCUUUUGAUCACUAAUGCAUUUAGAUAAGGCAAUUCCUCAACACUACCCCCUUGAGCAAUGUAAAGAAUGACACAAAUUCCAUUUUCACUUUCUUAGGGUUAGUCAACUUUACUCCAUUCUCAGUAUAUAUAGCAAUGAUAGAAUUGUGAGUUGUUCUGAUCAUUACUUGAUCAUGAAAGUACUUAGUAUUAGCAUCCUUACUAUCAAUCAAACACACUCUUGAUUUCUGUCAUAGUACCUUCUCCUCAAUGAGACUCUAUUUUUAUAUUUCUCUUAAUAUUGCCUCCCCUUGCUCAAUUAAAGUUGGCUUGAAUAAUUGGUUAUUAAUUUGAGUUUGUACAAUCUCUAGUUGUUACCUAGCCUUAUUGAGCUUCUAUGCAUAUGAGGCCAUGAAGAUAUUCAAUUCCUGUAACUCCACUUUUAGUUUCUUCAGUUUGUUCCACAAUCCUUGCAUUGCGUUUCCACUUGUUGAUCUCUGCCAAAUUGUAAUACCCCGGGAAAUUUUUUGCUGAAAUUUUAUGCGUAAAUGUGUUGGUUUCUAUCUUCUAGAAUGAAUUAUAAAUUUUUUCAUGCGGAAUGUAAUAGAUUAUGACCCACCAUUGCGUAGAGUAUCGAAUAAGAUUUCCAACGAUAUGUGGAUCAUCCAAAACGGACACCCGAGCGAUAAGUUAUGAACAUUUCGAUUGAACUGUGAAUAGUAGUGAACAGUAAAACACGCAGGAAAAAGUACUGAGGCCUGACAUAUUUUUCAUCCAGCUUAAAACGAUCAUAAAUCCUUACACAUAAUGAUUUGGGUGAUCUACUAUAUAUAUCAACGGAAAGCUAUGCGAGUCCUCUUUCCAAUGAAAUUGGUUUCAUUCAAUUUGUCUAUUGGAGCAAAAAGUUAUUGCCGAUCUACUUCAACCUACCGAAAGAAAAUUUUUGGGUCAACUUCGAAUGAUCAUAACUCUUCGUACACAAUGAUAUGAGUGAGAUACUAUAUAUCAAUGGAAAUAUAUGAGAUUCCUCUUUCUAAUGAAAUUGGUUUCAUCCAAUUUUGAUAUCGGAGUAAAACGUUAUGGUCGAUCUACUUCAGACUAUCAAAACAGUCCAUCAAAAGACAGAUUCGAGAAUUAUUUGAUUUUUAGGGGUGUUUUGGUCAUCCCCCCUCACCCAAAAUCCAUCCAAACCCUAUAUUAAAGCCUAUUAGAAGCAUUAUAUGUUAUAUUUCAUCAAAUUCCCUAAAAAAACCCUAAGCUCCUACAUCCAACUUCAAGAACCUCCAAAGUUCACCAUUAAACCUGCAAAUUUAUUCAAGAUUCCAAGUUCUUAGUUCAAGAACUCCAAGAACCAUCAUUUAAAGGCACGAUUAACAUCUCAAAAAUGAGUAUCGAUCUAAAGUUCAUCAUUCAAGGUAUGUGGGGUUUUUCAACAAGAACUUUCUUUCGUUCUUGUGCCAAAAAGUAAUUUUCUUUACAAAGGCAUGAUUUUUAUUUGAUUUUUACGAAUUUGAAGCAUGAACCCAUAUCUUAUGAUGAUUAUUAUGAAAUCUUGUUGUUUAUGAUUUUGAAAGAUGAAUUUACAUGUGUGGAGAUAUAAAGAAUGAAUCUUGAAGGAUAUUUAUCAUGAUUUUGAUAUUUGGGUCGUGAAUCCCCAUUGGAAAUUGUAUUUUUUGAGAAAGUGUGUGUUAUAAGCACGUUGAUGUUGAAUAUUUGAGAUAUUUUGAAUGAUGUGACCUUUUGGUCUUAAUGGAGUUGUUUUGAACUCGAGUGUGAAAGAAAUUCACAGCGUGGUUGAUUUUGAUAGAUGGGAAGCAUGAUGGAUCCCGAGGUAUAUUUAUAUAUUACUAAAAUUGUUUUGUUGUGGAUUGUCUUUUAAAUGAUUUGAGCUAAGUCUGAGAGAAAUCAUCAGCAUCGAGUGGAAGGUAUAAAGCGGCCUUACUUCCCUAGAACUACGUGCACCCAUAGGAGUAAGCCUGAGGCUGAUUUAUAUAGUGAUCACUAGUUUGUGUGGAUUUGAUAUCGAUAGUCCUACUAUGAUGGAAAGGAUAGGACGUCUCUCCCCAACGUGGGUCGUACGUUGGACUCCAUGUGGCUCACAUGGUUUAUGUCAGUUAUAGGAUCUCCCAGUGUGUGUGUGUUUCCUUGUGUCUAUGGUGAAUGGUGAAGUGAUUUGAAAGUGGAAUUGUGAAAGUUAUUCUUUCGAAAGAUUUAAAUGAUAUUUACAUUAUGAGAAUUGAUAUUCUUGAUGAACUGAAAGUGAUUGACAAAUUAUAUGAUGACUCACAUGUGUUAUUGUACUUAUUUCAUCCUCUCAUGAUUAUGAUGAUUUUCUUCGAGCUAUGUGAGUCUUUCAUACAUCCUGCAUAUUUCUUAUAAAUAUUUAUGAUGAUGAUGUUUAUACAGCUGCAUACACGCCCCAUAUACUCGGUUCCUUUCCAUGGUACUAACCCACAUCUUCGGAUGUGGGCUGCAUUUUCUCAAAAUAUAG
rnacentral:lncRNA from 1 species